rnacentral:rRNA from 1 species
CAGCCGCCGGGGAAUACGUAGGUGGCAAGCGUUGUCCGGAAUUAUUGGGCGUAAAGGGCUCGCGGGCGGUUUCUUAAGUCUGAUGCGAAAGCCCCCGGCUCAACCGGGGAGGGUCAUUGGAAACUGGGAAACUUGAGUGCAGAAGAGGAGAGUGGAAUUCCACGUGUAGCGGUGAAGUGCGUAGAGAUGUGGAGGAACACCAGUGGCGAAGGCGACUCUCUGGUCUGUAACUGACGCUGAGGAGCGAAAGCGUGGGGAGCGAACAGGAUUAGAUACCCCCGUAGUCCCUGUCUCUUAUACA